UGGGGAAUAUUGGACAAUGGGGGGAACCCUGAUCCAGCAAUGCCGCGUGUGUGAAGAAGGCCUGAGGGUUGUAAAACUCUUUCGUCGGGGACGAUAAUGACGGUACCCGAAGAAGAAGCUCCGGCUAACUUCGUGCCAGCAGCCGCGGUAAUACGAAGGGAGCUAGCGUUGUUCGGAAUCACUGGGCGUAAAGCGCACGUAGGCGGAUAGUUAAGUCAGGGGUGAAAUCCUGGGGCUCAACCCCAGAACUGCCUUUGAUACUGGCUGUCUCGAGGUCGAGAGAGGUUGGUGGAAUUCCUAGUGUAGAGGUGAAAUUCGUAGAUAUCAAGAGGAACACCUGAGGUGAAGACGGGUUGCUGGGCUGACACUGACGCUGAGGCGCGAAAGCCAGGGGAGCAAACGGGAUUAGAUACCCCCGUAGUCCCUGAGCGGGCUGGCAAGGCGCAU
rnacentral:rRNA from 1 species